rnacentral:rRNA from 1 species
GACGAACGCUGGCGGCGUGCCUAAUACAUGCAAGUAGGACGCAGUUGCGAACGGGUGAGUAACGCGUAGGUAAACGUCCACUAGAGGGGGGUAACUAUUUGAAACGAUAGCUAAAACCGCACACUAGUAGAUGGACCUGCGCUGUAUUAGGUAGUAGGUGGGGUAAUGGACUACCUAGGCAACGCUACAUAGCCGACCUGAGGAGGUGAUCGGGCAACAUGGGGCUGGAGAACGGCCCCGGCUCCCACGGGAGGCAAGAGGAGGGAAUCUUCGGGAAUGGGGGGAACGCUGAACGGGGAACGCCGCGUGAGUGAAGAAGGUUUUCGGAUCGGAAAGCUCUGUUGGUAAGGAAGCGGUACUUAACCAGAAAGGGACUGCUAACUACGUGCCAGCAGCCGCGGUAAUUC